GCGAGGGUAGCCAAGCAGGCCAACGGCGGUGGGCUUAAGACCCGCUCCCGUAGGGGUCCCUGGGUUCAAAUCCCAGCCCUCGCA
rfam:Haloterrigena limicola JCM 13563 contig_10, whole genome shotgun sequence.